UACGUAGGGGGCUAGCGUUGUCCGGAAUCAUUGGGCGUAAAGAGCGUGUAGGCGGCCCGGUAAGUCCGCUGUGAAAGUCACAGGCUCAACCUGUGAAUGCCGCUGGAAACUGUCUGGCUAGAGUCCGGAAGGGGCGAGUGGAAUUCCUGGUGUAGCGGUGAAAUGCGCAGAUAUCAGGAGGAACACCAAUGGCGAAGGCAGCUCGCUGGGACGGUGCUGACGCUGAGGCGCGAAAGCGUGGGGAGCAAACAGG
rnacentral:rRNA from 1 species